rnacentral:rRNA from 1 species
UAUUGCACAAUGGGCGCAAGCCUGAUGCAGCAACGCCGCGUGAGGGACGACGGCCUUCGGGUUGUAAACCUCUUUUAGUAGGGAAGAAGCGAUGUGCUUGUCACAUCAUGACGGUACCUGCAGAAAAAGCGCCGGCUAACUACGUGCCAGCAGCCGCGGUAAUACGUAGGGCGCGAGCGUUAUCCGGAAUUAUUGGGCGUAAAGAGCUCGUAGGCGGUUUGUCGCGUCUGCUGUGAAAACUGGAGGCUCAACCUCCAGCCUGCAGUGGGUACGGGCAGACUCGAGUGCGGUAGGGGAGAUUGGAAUUCCUGGUGUAGCGGUGGAAUGCGCAGAUAUCAGGAGGAACACCGAUGGCGAAGGCAGAUCUCUGGGCCGUAACUGACGCUGAGGAGCGAAAGCAUGGGGAGCGAACAG